AAAGUAUAAAUGGGACCUAAAAAAAAGAUGCAAGUAUAGAAGAAAAAAUCUGAAGAAUUGGGAAUGGGAAGCAUGGCAUGGAAGCAGCUUCUUCUCAACGCUUUAGAAUCCAACACUCACCUCAAACACUCUUCUUACAUGCAACUCGCAACUGUAGGAACCAACGGAAAACCUUCGAAUCGCACUGUCGUUUUCAGAGGAUUCCAAGACAACACUGAUAAUAUCCAAAUUAACACUGAUACCCGUACUCGCAAGAUUGAAGAGCUCAAGCUAUGCUCCUCUGCUGAGAUAUGUUGGUAUUUCACAGAUUCCUGGGAGCAAUUCCGGAUAAAUGGACAUGUAGAUAUCAUCGAUGGGACGAAUCCUGAUCUGCUAAAACUUAAGCAAAGAGAAAAAUCCUGGUUUGCCAGUUCCACGAGAUCAAGGUCGCAAUAUUUGUGGCCGAACCCAGGACUUCCCUGUCUAAAUGAACAAACACAACCAGAAAUGUCAUUGGAUCCUUCUAUAGGUCCAGUUGAUGCUUUUUGUCUCCUGAUUCUAGAACCAGAUCAGGUUGAUUACUUGAAUCUAAAGAGUAACCAGAGGCUAACAUUCAGAUCAAGUUUGAGUGAUGCAUCAAAGAAAUGCUGGAUUAUGGAGAGGGUCAACCUGUGAUUUCUUAUCUGUCAUAUAUGUAGAUUUCAUUGCAAUCAACAAAUUGCAUGUUGUGAGAGCAUCGAAGAGAGAAUUGACUGGAGUGUGCUGGUCAGGUGGGGGAUGUGGUAAGGACUCCAAAUCUCCUUUUCCAUUCUUCACUAUAAAUACCAUUCCUAGUCCCCAUGAUUGGUGUAUAUCAAUGUGGCAGUGCAUGUACCACACACCUGCAAAAAGUUAUGUUACUGACUAUAAGAAAUGAAUAAUUCCUUCAGCCAAAAAGAUAAAAAAGAAAUCAAUAGUCUCUUGAUGUUUCAGUGAUGAAUUUGGCUCCUCUAAAAUGAGUAUAGUGUUAAGUGAGAAAAUUAAGAAUUGUUAUAAUA